rnacentral:rRNA from 1 species
UGGGGAAUAUUGGACAAUGGGCGCAAGCCUGAUCCAGCAAUGCCGCGUGAGUGAUGAAGGCCUUAGGGUUGUAAAGCUCUUUCGCACGCGACGAUGAUGACGGUAGCGUGAGAAGAAGCCCCGGCUAACUUCGUGCCAGCAGCCGCGGUAAUACGAAGGGGGCUAGCGUUGUUCGGAAUUACUGGGCGUAAAGGGCGCGUAGGCGGCCUGUUUAGUCAGAAGUGAAAGCCCCGGGCUCAACCUGGGAAUAGCUUUUGAUACUGGCAGGCUUGAGUUCCGGAGAGGAUGGUGGAAUUCCCAGUGUAGAGGUGAAAUUCGUAGAUAUUGGGAAGAACACCGGUGGCGAAGGCGGCCAUCUGGACGGACACUGACGCUGAGGCGCGAAAGCGUGGGGAGCAAACAGGAUUAGAUACCCUGGUANGUCCACGCCGUAAAACGAUGAAUGCUAGACGUCGGGGUGCAUGCACUUCGGUGUCGCCGCUAACGCAUUAAGCAUUCCGCCUGGGGAGUACGGCCGCAAGGUUAAAACUCAAAUGAAUUGACGGGGUCAUAGCUGUUUCCUG